ACGGCCUUAAUGUUACGUCGGUUUUAAUCGUAUUUACGGUACGCUUUGUGUUCGUCAGUUUUUUAAACAUUAGUUUUUAGUAGAGUAAAAAUAAUAAAGCAUGUAAAUAAAUUUAUAAUAAUAAUAAAUUUAUUUACAUGCCACGACUAAAACGCAUUGAUCAGAACUUUCUUUGAAAGAUAAUUCGCAUCAAGUUGUACAAACAUGUUUGGAAAGGAUGCCAUCAAACUAAUAACUGAGCUUGAUAUGUAUGAAGAUAUUCGACCAUUUAAUGAACAAAUAAUGCAACAAGUUUUUGAAGAAAUGCAGAUGCUUUAUGAAGCUAAUCUGGAAGACAUCAGGGAAAAAGACAACUCGCUUUUACCGUCGGUGUAUUUUCGCCAUGCAGCUUUACUCAGGAAUCAAAGAUGCGUGUUAGCGUAUCUGUACCACAGAAUCAAGCGAUUACGACAGAUGCGCUGGGAAUUGGGCAGCAUCUUGCCGGCCGAGGUAACGGCGAAUCUGUUGAAAGCGGAAGAAGAGUGGUUUCAGAAUUACAACAAAUCUCUGGCCACUUACAUGAGGUCGAUCGGAGACGAUCACGGAUUAAAUCUGACCGUGAAUAUGUGUCCUCCGAAAAGCCUCUAUGUUGAGGUGAAAUGUCUGAGCGAUUUCGGCAAGUUGGAACUUGAUGAUGGCGAUAUUAUUACGCUCAAAAAGAACACGUAUCAUCUGCUACCGAGAUCCGUAUGUGAGCCGCUCAUCAGACAAGGCGUACUCGAGCACCAUAACUCGUAAUAAAUAAAAGAAUUCAUUAUCUUUGAUGACCUAUUAUUGCGUGUAAUCUUUAUUGUUUCGACAAGAUCUGAGAAAUCCCACUGACAGAAUUAUUUAACUUCAAAGGAAAGAAGGUUGUAUACAUUUGUCUGAGUUACUAUUUGUACGCCACACAAAGGUAAACGAUAAACGGUUUAUCGUCUUAAUGUGACGCGGUGUGCGGCGCGGCACGACCUCCAUAAUAAUGGAAAAACCCAUGUGGAAUGUCUGCAAUGAAGAGCUCUUUUGUUACGUAUCGAGGCCGCACAUUCGGCAACCAACGAAUCGAUUUCCCGGUUACGAGUCGUAGUCAACGACCGUAGGAGAACGUUUUACCGAUUGUGCAUGGACGACUAACUUCAAACACAGGAAAUGCCGCUGAGAUCCGGGAAUUUCCGGUGAGUUCGACUCGCCGCUUUUACCGGGACAAGCGUUACGAAGAAAGUUCUUCUGCCAUUUAUACGCGGUGAAAGUGACAUUGGCCAAUACAUAAGUCACUGAAUCUGCCGAUCUAUGAUAGACAGUCUGCAAGAAAUAUAAAGAUAGUGUGGAGAGGGGUCCAAGAUGCCACGAAGCGAAUAGGAAAAAAAGUGAGUUUGUCACAGGCUAUCAACCAGUUAAAAUCAUUGUGGACGCAUCAGACUCACAGGUUCACUUUACAUAAACUUUUAGUGUGUGAAAAACUGGCCUAUUGAAGCGCUGAGACUGCUGCUAACUGCUUUCGUUCCAACACACUUUUAUGAAGAGAAUUAUACGAACAACAAACGAGGAAAUUCUAUUUUUUUGUUUUUUUUUUUUAAAUAAGAACUAAAAUGCAUUUGAAACAUCAACAUUAUUUUUACUGCACAAAAUUCCAUGUACUUGAUAAAGAUUAUCACAUAAAAUUCAAGAAAUGUUUUUUAA